rnacentral:lncRNA from 1 species
GCCAGUCUAUGGUUGUAAUAUGAUUCGUAAAAACAUUCAGUACAGCUUAUACAUUCGUAGGGAACACAUAGGAAAUUGUUGAAAAAUUAAGAGCCGAUUUUGAACAUUAAGUUGUUAAAUGGAACCAUCUCGAUGUCCCAAACGACCUUUGAAUGCAUACGUAAUGUGGAUGAACUGUUCUGGACGUAGCAUCAUCAAGAAGAAACAUCCCCAAUCUAGCUUCAUCCAAGUGGCCAGAAAAAGCAGUCGUUUAUGGUCAAAGAUGUGCGAGUACGACAAAUCCAUGUGGCAUACAUAUGCGUCCGUGGCAAUGAUUCAAUAUAAAGCAAGGCUCGGCAUUUGGAAAUCCCAACAAGCUCAGUCGAAGUCAUCCACAGUCUCACACAGUCACUCGUCGUCGGAAACUGCGGGAAGCCACCAACAAUGGUCUGAACAUUGAAGCAUCAGCCAUGCAGUCACAAUUCAACAGGGAUUACAGUCUGAAGAUUACAGAUUACAGACGAAUCUCUUAAAGAAGUUAAAUGUUUCGGAUGUUAUUUGGCAUUUUUGGCAGACUUAUCCGCCUGGCAAUAUGCGAACAAAAAAUCUUAAUCGUUCAAUAAAAUGCAAAUAAAGGUAAUAA